GGGGGCUGCUUACCAUGCAAGUCGAACGGUCUCUUCGGAGAUAGUGGCGGACGGGUGAGUAACGCGUGAGAACCUACCCCUAGGACGGGGACAACAGAGGGAAACUUCUGCUAAUCCCGGAUGAGCCCUCGGGUAAAAGAUUUAUCGCCUAGGGAUGAGCUCGCGUCUGAUUAGCUAGUUGGUGGGGUAAAAGCCUACCAAGGCGACGAUCAGUAGCUGGUCUGAGAGGAUGAUCAGCCACACUGGGACUGAGACACGGCCCAGACUCCUACGGGAGGCAGCAGUGGGGAAUUUUCCGCAAUGGGCGCAAGCCUGACGGAGCAAGACCGCGUGGGGGAGGAAGGUUCUUGGAUUGUAAACCCCUUUUCUCAGGGAAGAAGAAAGUGACGGUACCUGAGGAAUCAGCCUCGGCUAACUCCGUGCCAGCAGCCGCGGUAAUACGGAGGAGGCAAGCGUUAUCCGGAAUGAUUGGGCGUAAAGCGUCCGUAGGUGGCAUUUCAAGUCUGCUGUCAAAGACUGGAGCUUAACUCCGGAAAGGCAGUGGAAACUGAAAAGCUAGAGUGCGGUAGGGGCAGAGGGAAUUCCUGGUGUAGCGGUGAAAUGCGUAGAGAUCAGGAAGAACACCGGUGGCGAAAGCGCUCUGCUGGGCCGCAACUGACACUGAGGGACGAAAGCUAGGGGAGCGAAUGGGAUUAGAUACCCCAGUAGUCCUAGCUGUAAACGAUGGAGACUAGGUGUUGCCUGUAUCGACCCGGGCAGUGCCGAAGCUAACGCGUUAAGUCUCCCGCCUGGGGAGUACGCACGCAAGUGUGAAACUCAAAGGAAUUGACGGGGGCCCGCACAAGCGGUGGAGUAUGUGGUUUAAUUCGAUGCAACGCGAAGAACCUUACCAGGACUUGACAUGUCCGGAAGCUCGGGGAAACCUGAGUGUGCCUUCGGGAACCGGAACACAGGUGGUGCAUGGCUGUCGUCAGCUCGUGUCGUGAGAUGUUGGGUUAAGUCCCGCAACGAGCGCAACCCUCGUCCUUAGUUGCCAGCAUUAAGUUGGGCACUCUAGGGAGACUGCCGGUGACAAACCGGAGGAAGGUGGGGAUGACGUCAAGUCAUCAUGCCCCUUACGUCCUGGGCUACACACGUACUACAAUGGGGAGGACAAAGGGUAGCGACUUUGCGAAAAGAAGCCAAUCUCAGAAACCUCUCCUCAGUUCAGAUUGCAGGCUGCAACUCGCCUGCAUGAAGGAGGAAUCGCUAGUAAUCGCAGGUCAGCAUACUGCGGGAAUCCGUUCCCGGGCCUUGUACACACCGCCCGUCACACCAUGGAAGUUGGCCAUGCCCGAAGUCGUUACCCUAACCGUUCGCGGAGGGGGGCGCCGAAGGCAGGGCUGAUGACUGGGGUGAAGUCGUAACAAGGUAGCCGUACCGGAAGGUGUGGCUGGAUCACCUCCUUUCAGGGAGACCUACCAAACUGACUCCGAGGUAAAGAACUAAGAGCGGUUAUGGUCACUCUAGGUCGGGAGCAGGAUUUUAGGAAUCUCACACUAUUGUUUAAGUUUAAUGCUUAAGGGAUUAAGUAUUAAGGGCUAUUAGCUCAUGUGGUCAGAGCGCACCCCUGAUAAGGGUGAGGUCCCUGGUUCAAGUCCAGGAUGGCCCAGUGGGGAUGGGGGUAUAGCUCAGAUGGUAAAGCGCCUGCUUUGCAAGCAGGAUGUCAGCGGUUCGACUACGCUUACCCUCCAUCGAUUAGGAGAUGAGAGAGAUAGGCAAUAAAUUCAGCAACCCUGAGAGUUAACGGGGAGUUAGCAUUUUUAGGCUGCUGGGACUUACGUCUAUCGAGAACCUUUGACAACUGGCAUAAAUAACCCCAAAACGGCAUUUCGAACCCUAAAAACCCUUUAAUAAAAAAAAACUGAAAGGUCCACCCUUCCAAAUGGGCUCUUGG
rnacentral:rRNA from 1 species